rnacentral:rRNA from 1 species
AACGAACGCUGGCGGCGUGCCUAACACAUGCAAGUCGAACGAGACCUUCGGGUCUAGUGGCGCACGGGUGCGUAACGCGUGGGAAUCUGCCCUUGGGUUCGGAAUAACAGUUAGAAAUGACUGCUAAUACCGGAUAAUGUCUUCGGACCAAAGAUUUAUCGCCCAGGGAUGAGCCCGCGUAGGAUUAGCUAGUUGGUGAGGUAAAGGCUCACCAAGGCGACGAUCCUUAGCUGGUCUGAGAGGAUGAUCAGCCACACUGGGACUGAGACACGGCCCAGACUCCUACGGGAGGCAGCAGUGGGGAAUAUUGGACAAUGGGCGAAGACCUGAUCCAGCAAUGCCGCGUGAGUGAUGAAGGCCUAGGUUGUAAGACUCUUUACCUAGGGAGUGAUAAUAGACAGUACCU